CUAUGAAACAUUCAAGUGAAAAAUCAAUUGUGCAGUGGAAAAAAUAAAUAUCAGUCCCAGAAGGACUAAGCUAAACGUGAAGACAUAGGGGUUUGAAACACAAAGAUGCAGUAAUACAUUGUGUUGUGUGAUAUUUUGUUUGUGUUCUGACAAAUAAAGCUAGCUUGGAAUCAGAGGGGAGAGCUAGCCACUAGUCAACCAUAGAGGCCGGGCGGUGGUGGCACACGCCUUUAAUCCCAGCAC